UACGUAGGGUGCGAGCGUUGUCCGGAAUUAUUUGGGCGUAAAGAGCUCGUAGGCGGUGUGUCGCGUCGGCCGUGAAAACCUGCAGCUUAACUGUGGGCUUGCGGUCGAUACGGGCAUCACUGGAGUUCGGCAGGGGAGACUGGAAUUCCUGGUGUAGCGGUGAAAUGCGCAGAUAUCAGGAGGGAACACCGGUGGGCGAAGGCGGGUCUCUGGGCC
rnacentral:rRNA from 1 species